rnacentral:lncRNA from 1 species
CCCCCAGCCCCCACUCCCAAAGCGCACACUUUUAAAACGGGCAAAGCUCAACAGCCUGAGAAUACAGAGAUAGAGUGUCACUGGAGUAAUUUAACCACCGCUGAAUGAAGCAGUGGCGGUGUAGCCACAGCCGUGAACUGUGCUUGUGAACUUGGAUCUGUGGGUUACCUGUCUGGGGGCAGAUGGAUACUGUCCAGGGGCACUGCCUCUGUGUUCACGGCUGCUCCUGCCCUCCUGCAACUGCUUUUCCACUGCUAUGGUAUGACAUUUGGGGACUGAGGAUUACAAGACCCUUGAUUCAACGCUUGCAGGUUCUCAGGUCCUGAAACACCCCAGCUGAGGCCUGGACCUUCCAUUUCCUGGACCUCUGACCUGGCUCUACGGGUCAGGAUCCGGCCGACUCCAGUCAUUCCCUAAGUCUUGACCUUGUACACACAACCCGAUCGAAUCUGCUGCCCUCUUCUGGACCCACAGACAAGCCCUCUUGGACAACCAGGGCUCACAGGCCCACAUCAGCUGUGUGCCCACAAGGCUGUCACUCACCUGAACGUGGUGGAGCCUGCGUUCACCUGGGGCCCAAAUGGACUGACUGCUGGGCAGCGCCUUGGGAGUGGGUACACCAGGACUCUUUGCAACCCCAACCCCUUGUCAUCUAAACAGCCAUGUAUGGAGGUG